UACGUAGGUGGCAAGCGUUAUCGGGAAUUAUUGGGCGUAAAGCGCGCGCAGGCUGUCCUUUAAGUCUGAUGUGACAUCUUGCGGCUUAACCGCAAGCGGUCAUUGGAAACUGGGGGCCUUGAGUACAGAAGAGGGGAGCGGGAUUCCACGUGUAGCGGUGAAAUGCGUAGAUAUGUGGAGGAACACCAGUGGCGAAGGCGGCUCUCUGGUCUGUAACUGACGCUGAGGCGCGAAAGCGUGGGGAGCAAACAGG
rnacentral:misc_RNA from 1 species